rnacentral:rRNA from 1 species
CUACGAAGGGGGCUAGCGUUGUUCGGAUUUACUGGGCGUAAAGCGCACGUAGGCGGAUUGAUUAGUUAGGGGUGAAAUCCCGAGGCUCAACCUCGGAACUGCCUUUAAUACUGUCAAUCUCGAGACCGGAAGAGGUGAGUGGAACUCCUAGUGUAGAGGUGGAAUUCGUAGAUAUUAGGAAGAACACCAGUGGCGAAGGCGGCUCACUGGUCCGGUACUGACGCUGAGGUGCGAAAGCGUGGGGAGCGAACAGGAUUAGAUACCCUUGUAGUCC